ensembl:lncRNA
CACAUUGAUUAUGUAGACAAAGAUGAAACCCUGAACAAUAAACCACAGAACUUCCACAAUCCAGCCCCUAUAUCAUUCCAGCCUACAAGUUUUCACCCACAGUGAAGCAGAAGUGUGAUUUCUGCUCAGACACCGUCAUUUACAGAGUCCAUUUGUCAGCUAUGAAUUCGACUUCAUUGAUGAGACUCCUGUUUCUUCAUUAAACGGGCACUUGUUCCUGGCUGAGGUGGGAGAGGAGGGCUGUUACGUCAGCUCUGAGAGCACCAGCGACAGUGACUGAAUACAGCAGAUCACAGUAGUGCUACAGUACAUUAAUUGAGAAUAUCCGGCUCUACUAAAAUUUCAUUGUCCAAGUAACAAUAAUAAUGAUAAUAAUAAUAAAUUCUUUUAUUUUCAGUAUGUUGGGGUUAUGAGUCCCACAGCCAUGUCUUUUGAAUGGCUUUCUUGAGUUAUGCUAGUUUUGUUAAUAAAAUCUCGUUUUGUGAACGUCAACCUUGUUGUGAAGCACUGAUUGACUGCAGUGCAUAUAGUGUGAAGUGUUUUUGUUUGUUUUCUCAUAUGAAUAUUUCAUUAUUGUAGAUUUCAUAAAUUGUUACUACACAUUGUGUAACAAAAAUAUAUAAAUUACCAUCCAUGUUCUUUAUGAAGCAAUAAAGUG